rnacentral:rRNA from 1 species
GACGAACGCUGGCGGCGUGCUUAACACAUGCAAGUCGAACGAAGUGGCGAACGGGUGAGUAACGCGUAAUCAAACUGCCCUUCCGAGGGGGACAACAGUUGGAAACGACUGCUAAUACCGCAUACUGAAGGAGGGGAUUGCGUCUGCUUAGAUAGUUGGCGGGGUAACGGCCCACCAAGGCGAUGCUCAGUAGCCGGGCUGAGAGGAUGAACGGCCCAAUGUGGACUUGGACACGGCCCAGACUCCUACGGGAGGCAGCAGUGGGGAAUCUUCCGCAAUGGACGAAAGUCUGACGAAGCAACGCCGCGUGAGUGAUGACGGCCUUCGGGUUGUAAAGCUCUGUUAAUCGGGACGCGGUACCGGAAUAGAAAGCCACGGCUAACUACGUGCCAGCAGCCGCGGUAAUAC